AAACUGAAACUGAAACUGAAAUGCUGUUUUAUUUUGUUUUUUCUUUUGUGCUGUGGAGACGAAGAUUCCGGCGAGAGGCAAGGCUCUAGUGGCUACUGACCUCAGCAUUUUGAUUCCAGAAGGCACCGAUUUCUUUGUUUUUGUUUGGGUUAGGGUUUCAAAAUUGCUUUUGGUGCUGAUUUUUGGGAUUUUUUGUUUCUCUGCAGCUCUAUUAGGGAUUUUUGGGUCUUCCGUUGAAGCAUUGGAUUAACGUUGGUGCGGGGGUGAUUGACGACGAUCUCAGUUUGUGUAGUAUAUUCUGAUGGUGAGUUAGUCAUGAUAGGUCUUGGCAUGCCUUCGCUCGCUUAUCCGAAAAUGCACUUAUCAAAACUUUGCCAGCAAUGAGCUUGUGAAAUUGUUUCCUCCUAAUCUUCCACUAGACUUACAGCAAGGUUUGCAGGUUUGCAGUUCAUCACUUUUUUUCUCUUUGGUUCAACAUCUGCAUUUUGUUAUCGUCAAUUUAUGUCUUAAUGGUGUUUUGUACCGUCCUACAGCAAUGUUUUGAUCAUGUCAAUUUUUUGUUGUUGUUCUCCUAUUACUGAGUUGUUAUGGAAAACAAUCCUAAUAUCCAGGUAUUGAUCUUAUUAAUCCACCGAAAAAUAGAAUAUCAAUUUUGUUCCUUUGUUCUUGUCAGGUUUGAAAUUCAUCACUUUUUUACUCUUUGGUUCAACCUCUGCAUUUUGUUCCUUUGUUUUUCUUAAUUUGAUUCCUUAAUGCCUCUGUUCUGUUAUGGAGCUAUGACCUGUUACUUUCCUAAGAACUUCAAUCACUCUUCCUAAUCUUUUUUUGUGUCUUAGAUUUUCUGUUCUGUGUAACUGAUAAUGAACUUCAUUUUAUGAUCUCCUUUCAGAUUGAUCAAUCCUGUAGUUGUAUCCCCCACUAUUGCUGCUGUUGGACUUUCAUUUUUCAGGAAUGGUUUCCCAAUAGUUGGUACAUGUCUUGAGAUUGGUGCAGUACAGAUAUUAGUAGUGGUUGUUUUUCCUCUUGUAAGUUGUUGAGUUCAUCUUAAAUUUUUAUAUCAUUAUUUUAUUAUUCGUUCAGAAUUCCUGUGUGUAUGUUCAUUGUAUUGUUUGUGUAUUUUGCUAACACAUGAUGCAUGUUUGCUAUUCUAAACAUGAUGCAUGUUUGCUAUUUCUGCUGCUGUUCUCAUUCACUAAGAGAGGAAGAGGGUUUAGGACUGUGGAGUGUGUCACUGCUCAUUCUGGCUCUCCUGAAAGAAAGACUUGAAAUGAUUAAACACUGAAUAUUUGUAAAGGAAUUCAGAAAUCGUUAUGGUUGUCCUUUGAUAUUAUUUUUGAGGUCAUUUUUUCAAUAAUUCAAAUACAGAGAGAGAAAAUACUUAUUAAUAAAUGAACAUUAUUAAGACUAAGAGACUUGUCUUUAUCCUAAUAAUAUAAAGGAGAAUUAGAGUCCUAGACAAAACUACCGUCAAAAAACUAAAAAGAAAACUAAAAGUGAAGGAUAAUAUAAUGGAAAUUUGGUGCACUAAUACUUGGCACUUUUUUUUUCUUUUUAUUGUUUAUUAGUAGUAUUAUUUUUCGGCCUUUAGAACAUGGUGGAAGAUAUUGUAUAAUCCUAAAUAAACACGACAAUGCAAGAAAUUAGAAAGUAGAGAGAUUCGUUAAUUUUUAUUGCUAGUUGCUCUCAUCAUGAUAUGCUUUUCAUGAGAUUAACAUUUAUAAUUUGUUAAUUUUUUCCUUUUGUGUCCACUAGUAUUAGCUUUUCCUAAUAAUCAAGUUACCAAUUUUAUUUGUUCACUGCUAUUAAUCAUCACUGUAUCUAUGAGUUCCUAAUUAAAUUAGAUAUUUCACUAGCCGACACUAUUUAUGAAUAAUAAUUUAUCAAACUUAAAGGGAAUAAGUUGAGGUUAGUAGGCAUUCACUUCACUAGUUAUCUACAAAAAUAAUGAGAAGGUUAACUAGCAGUCUUAGUAAGGAUAUUAUUUCUAAUAUUAUUUGUUAUCUGCCUCUGCGCUGAAAUCUUAACCACUUGUUCCAUAAAAUUGAUCAUCUUAUGUUACUUUUUGCAGGGAUCUUGAUAACUCUAAUCUAUCUGAAAAUUUGGUAUCUAAACUUGAAUGAUAAUGUUCUGUUAUAACUAAAUUUUGGGUUUUAUUUUGUCCUUCUCUGUGAGGUAAUGUAGGCCAUAAUUUCUUCUUCUUUUAAUUAUCUUUCUCUUUUCUAAAAUUUAAAUGCCACAAGUAGUACAGAGGCAACAAUAAAUAUAUAUUGCUGCUAUCUAUAAGAUGCAAACUAAGCAAUCAGAGUUAGUAAACCAUAUUCAAUUCUUAAAAACAUUUAGUAAUAUUAUAUAGGAUAAACAAUUCUUAGAAAUUUUAUUAUAGGAGAUUGUAAUAGCAGUUUUAGGAUUGUACUAUGAAAUUGUAACACAGCUUGAUUCUUAUUUCUUUUUGCUUUUGAUGCUGCAGUCCAUGAAAGGAUACUUAGGACAUAUGAUGACUUUGUCUGGCCUGUUGAUACUUCAUUCAUUGGUUGCUUCAUUAUUGAUGUUGAAUCUCUUCACUUGAAGAUAUGCCCUCUGAAUGAUCUUUACUUGGCUCGGUACUCUAUUUUGUUGAGGUAAUAAUUUCACUACUUGAGGCAAUUGUUUCCACUGAUGGAAGACAAGAAGAACCUUACUUCACCUGAUUUCUGAAAAGAACCCUUAGGAAAACUUGCAAGAGUCUUGGUCUUUGGUUUUCAGGUGGAUGGACUUAAGUGAUUGGUUGUCAUACAGGGCAACUGGAGAUGAUACUCGCAGUUUGUCCACCACAGCUUGCAAAUGGACAUAUCUUGGUCAUGCUCACAUGCAGCAUAUCAAUGAUAAAGACUCCUGGGAUAUGGCUAUGCUUUUUGGAUCAUUUAAAGAGACUUGAAGAACAGUGUGAACUCAAAAACCAUAAGAUACAAGAGUGCCAACAGAAAAUUGAGGAGAGUUGGUUUGUAGCAAAGGAGGAAGCUGCUAAGUCCAAAGCAGCAAAAGAGGUCAUAAAAGCUUUGGCUGUAAAGGUAAGUUUUCUUAUAUUGUUUUUGUUUUGCUCAUUUACACAAAGGCUUCCGUACAAGAAACAUAUGUUGUAGUAGUCCUUAUGAUAUGGUCUUAACAUUAUAUUAAUUAUCACCACUGCAGCUUCAUACAAUAUCAGUAAGGUAUUUGAAUUGUUUUGAAUAUAAAGGAUAAAAUCAUUCUGAUUUAAGAAGCAGUAUUCUCUUCAUCUUAUAAUAACUGUUUUGAAUUGCAUUUGUAAUCUAAUGCAACCAUUUCAAUAAGAACCAGCUUUCAGGAGAGGUUUCUACAAAUCUUUGUAAGAGAUGAGUUUGGAUAAUGAAGUUGGAGUGUUGGAGCAAGAAACAAAGAUGUUGGAGCAAGUUCCCGGGAUGAAACUCACAGAAGAGACCAAGAAACCAAGGCAGGCUUGUUUUAAAGUUAAUUACAAAAGGAGAAAACUUUUGGCCUCCAAAUCUUAUUCAUCAACACUUAGCUAAGUUACUUGUCUUGUAUAUUCAUAUUCUAAGUAGUAAAAACAGCACUUAUUAGAUGGUUUAAAUACAUUAUUAGAUAUUAACAUAGUUUAGGAAACUGGAUGGUAGAUUUGACUGAUUAGUGUUUAUUGCAAUGCUUGUAUUUUAGUAAGUUUAGUAAGACAAGGUUUUGUACAGGAGUUAUUACUUUUGAUUUUCAAUAAUAAAAAAUUAUAUAUUGUAUUAA